rnacentral:rRNA from 1 species
UUUGACAUACACCGGAAAACCGUAGAGAUACGGUCCCCCUUCGUGUCGGUGGUACAGGUGGUGCAUGGCUGUCGUCAGCUCGUGUCGUGAGAUGUUGGGUUAAGUCCCGCAACGAGCGCAACCCUUGUCUUAUGUUGCCAGCACGUGAUGGUGGGGACUCGUAAGAGACUGCCGGGGUCAACUCGGAGGAAGGUGGGGACGACGUCAAGUCAUCAUGCCCCUUAUGUCCAGGGCUUCACACAUGCUACAAUGGCCAGUACAGAGGGCUGCGAGACCGUGAGGUGGAGCGAAUCCCUUAAAGCUGGUCUCAGUUCGGAUCGGGGUCUGCAACUCGACCCUGUGAAGUCGGAGUCGCUAGUAAUCGCAGAUCAGCAACGCUGCGGUGAAUACGUUCCCGGGCCUU